GGAGAGCUCCGGGUGGUCGCUCCUGCCUUCGGGCAGGGGAGGAAAGUCCGAACUCCGACGGGCGGCAUGCUUGCUAACGGCAAGGCGCAGCGAUGCGACGGAAAGUGCAACAGAGAGUAGACCGCCGGCGUCCUCCGGGGCGCCGGUAAGGGUGAAAGGGUGCGGUAAGAGCGCACCGCUCCGCCGGCGACGGCUGGAGGCACGGUAAACCCCAUGUGGAGCAAGACCAAAUAGGGGGGCAGUUUGCGGGCCGCCCGUCCCGCUCGCACGCUUCGGCGUGCGGCUAGUCCCCGGGUAGGUCGCUCGAGGCCGGCGGCGACGCCGGUCCCAGAGGAAUGACCACAACCUGGUUCGCCAGGAGACAGAAUUCGGCUUAUGGAGCUCUCCGGCU
rnacentral:RNase_P_RNA from 1 species